GACGAACGCUGGCGGCGUGCUUAACACAUGCAAGUCGAACGGAAAGGCCCCUUUGGGGGUACUCGAGUGGCGAACGGGUGCGUAACACGUGAGUAACCUGCCCUUUACUUCGGGAUAACUUCAGGAAACUGGGGCUAAUACCGGAUAGGAAUCCUUGCUCCAUGGGGGGGGUUGGAAAGCUUCUGCGGUGUUGGAUGGACUCGCGGCUUAUCAGCUUGUUGGUGGGGUAGUGGGUUACCAAGGCUUUGACGGGUAGCCGGCCUGUGAGGGCGACCGGCCACAUUGGGACUGAGGUACGGCCCAGACUCCUACGGGUGGAAGCAGUGGGGAAUAUUGCACAAGGGGCGGAAGCCUGAUGCAGAAACGCCGCGUGCGGGAUGACGGCCUUCGGGUUGUAAACCGCUUUCAGCAGGGGCGAAGCUUGUGGUGACGGUACCUGCAGAAGAAGCACCGGCUAACUACGUG
rnacentral:rRNA from 1 species